AGUGAACGCUGGCGGUAGGCCUAACACAUGCAAGUCGAACGGCCGCACAGUAAGAGCUUGCUCUUACGGGUGGCGAGUGGCGGACGGGUGAGGAAUACAUCGGAAUCUACUUUUUCGUGGGGGAUAACGUAGGGAAACUUACGCUAAUACCGCAUACUACCUACGGGUGAAAUCAGGAGAUCUUCGGACCUUGCGCGAUUGAAUGAGCCGAUGUCGGAUUAGCUAGUCGGCGGGGUAAAGGACCACCAAGGCGACGAUCCGUAGCUGGUCUGAGAGGAUGAUCAGCCACACUGGAGCUGAGACACGGUCCAGACUCCUACGGGAGGCAGCAGUAGGGAAUAUUGGACAAUGGGCGCAAGCCUGAUCCAGCAAUGCCGCGUGAGUGAAGAAGGCCUUCGGGUUGUAAAGCCCUUUUGUUGGGAAAGAAAAGCAGCGUGUUAAUACCUCGCUGUUCUGACGGUACCCAAAGAAUAAGCACCGGCUAACUUCGUG
rnacentral:rRNA from 1 species